UACGGGGGGGGCAAGCGUUGUUCGGAAUUCCUGGGCGUAAAGGGCUCGUAGGCGGCCAACUAAGUCGGAUGUGAAAUCCCCAGGCUCAACUUGGGAACUGCAUCCGAUACUGGAUGGCUUGAAUUCGGGAGAGGGAUGCAGAAUUCCAGGUGUAGCGGUGAAAUGCGUAGAUAUCUGGAGGAAUACCGGUGGCGAAGGCGGCAUCCUGGACCGACAUUGACGCUGAGGAGCGAAAGCUAGGGGAGCAAACGGG
rnacentral:rRNA from 1 species